UUUAAAGAAUAAGCUUUACUACAUCGGUGCUCCCCCGGUUACUUUGAGUUGGUAUCAGCCGACUGAAGUGGGAGGUAUAAACAUCCACUGCGACUCGCUUCAAACCGUUUGCCAGUGACCGCGGAGAUGGAGGACAUGUGUUCUCCACGCCACCUCAUAGCAACCUAGACCCAAACAAGGAUAAAAGAUAAAGAAACAUCCUUCGACGAAAACAAUACAACACGUUUCCUUGUAAUUCAUCUUGAAGAGUGAAGUAUAGAGUUCCCACAGGUCAUGGAAUAUUAGAAGGCACAGUAUGUUUCCAGAGAUUUUUGUUUUUACUAGUUAACUGUCUGUUAACUUAGGUUAACUUUACUGUUCAGUGGUGCAUCUAAUCUGUCUUACUGUUCAAAUUGAAUACAUUUAUUUUACC